rfam:Oryza sativa Japonica Group DNA, chromosome 10, cultivar: Nipponbare, complete sequence.
AAAGAGUAUAGUUUUGUAUUGUUUAUGUCCAAUGUUUGACCAUCUGUCUUAAUAGAUAAAAAUUUACGAUUAGUAUUUUUACUGUUAUUAGAUGAUAAAAUAUCAAUAGUACUUUAUGUGUGACUAAUUUUUCUUAUUUUUUAUAAAUUUUUAAAUAAGACGGAUGAUCAAAUAUUGGACAAGAAAAUACAUAACCGCACUUAAA